rnacentral:rRNA from 1 species
CGAAAGUUACGCUAAUACCGCAUACGAUCUACGGAUGAAAGCGGGGGAUCGCAAGACCUCGCGCGAAUGGAGCGGCCGAUGUCAGAUUAGGUAGUUGGUGGGGUAAAGGCUCACCAAGCCAAUGAUCUGUAGCUGGUCUGAGAGGACGACCAGCCACACUGGAACUGAGACACGGUCCAGACUCCUACGGGAGGCAGCAGUGGGGAAUUUUGGACAAUGGGCGCAAGCCUGAUCCAGCCAUUCCGCGUGCAGGAUGAAGGCCUUCGGGUUGUAAACUGCUUUUGUACGGAACGAAACGGUCUGCCCUAAUACGGCGGGCUAAUGACGGUACCGUAAGAAUAAGCACCGGCUAACUACGUGCCAGCAGCCGCGGUAAUACGUAGGGUGCAAGCGUUAAUCGGAAUUACUGG